CUGGCGUUGAGGACGCCAACUUGAGUGGUCAGCAAGCGAUGGAGCCGGGGCGAGGACCUCCGCCGUCAGCCCUUGCUGGGUAUCCGGAAGCUCCUGGCGUUGAGGGUGCCAACUUGAGUGGUCAGCAAGCGAUGGAGCCGUGGCGAGGACCUCCGUCUUCGGCCCUUGCUGGGUAUCCGGAAGCUCCUGGCGUUGAGGGCGCCAACUUGAGUGGUCAGCAAGCGAUGGAGCCGGGGCGAGGACC